GGAAGUUGAAUUAUCCACUAUUCUAAAUUCUUUUUCUCCAUAGAGAUGAUAAUAAAACCUUGUGUAAACUACCCUACCCACAAACCUAUCUCUUACAUUAACUCUCAAUCAUAUCACAAACGUUAACUAAACAUCUUUUUUCAGAAAAGUGUAAAAAGAAAAUAUAAAAUGGGGGUGCAAAAAGCAUGUUGACAAGAGUUCCCGGAGAAAAGUUCGUCGAACUCGUUGUUUCUAGAAAAUUCGCCAACUUUCCCACAUUUCCCAUCUUCCCUUCCGGUAGAUACAAACAUACAAUAUAUAAUACUGCUUACAAUUAUCACAAAGAAAUCACCAACUGUUCUCGAUCGCCGAUUGAAUCCCUAACAUAUCUAUAUCUCAAUCGUUGAUCCUCGUCUUUGUAUAGUAUUAUUGUGGUUCUGAAUCAAUGUCUCCGUACGACGGCGUCGUGAUUGGAAAACUGAAACUGAAGGGAAAACCAUUAAAUGUCAAAGAUGAUGGAAUUAAAAAGAAGAAGAAGAAACAUAACAAGAAUAGUUACCAUGAUCACGUGUCAGAGUUUCAUUCAGGAUGAAGUGAUGCAGACUGCUAGAGAUCCAGAAUAAUGGAUACUCAAUCAAAGGGCAAACAAACAUUCAAAUACGGUCAAUAUUAGGUUCAUGUUGUGUUACGUUUAAGAGUUUUCUUUUGUUUUACUUGAUACAAAUUUGAUUUGGAGGCACUAUAUUGGCUAUGUAAGUUUAGCAAUUGUGAUUAUUUUUGCAUGUGCGUUUGUGGUUGGCUUUAGCAUUGGGGUGAAUGUGAAUGCUAUGAUGGACAGCCUUCAUACGUUGUUUACCGUAGAUCAGUGCUUCAAAAUCAUCUUAAAUUCUAACGAAUAUCAACUAUACUUCUCGAAAUAGUCCUAUUGUACUUUGUGGGUGGGACAAUGACUCGAUCCAUGGAAAAAAAAAUGAAUAUGCCCCUCAAAACUCAACUCGUUGGACCGACAUCAAUAAGUUACUGUCUCAAAUAUAAACACGAGAUAACCGUUAACUUAUACUUCUAAAGAGUGUCAUUAAUCGUCAUUAGUGUGUCGAGUGAUUUUUAAACAUUGGUCAUAACGGACUUGGUCUACCCUAGAAUUUGCUCAGAAUUCAGAGUUCUUGUUAUCUAUGGGUGUUAAGUACAAUGUUGUCAAAUAAGCAGCACCGUAGUGUAGCUGAAUUUUAACGAAGCACUAUUGUUUUGCAAUACACAAUUUAGUACAAUGUUGUCAAA